CCUACGGGUGGCAGCAGUAGGGAAUUUUGCGCAAUGGGGGAAACCCUGACGCAGCAACGCCGCGUGAUCGAGGAAGCCCUUCGGGGCGUAAAGAUCUGUCAGUGGGGACGAAACCUGAAGGUACCAAAAGAGGAAGCACCGGCUAACCCCGUGCCAGCAGCCGCGGUAAUACGGGGGGUGCAAGCGUUGUCCGGAAUAAUUGGGCGUAAAGAGUUCGUAGGUGGAACGUUAAGUCUGGUGUUAAAGGCGGAAGCUCAACUUCCGUAGGGCACGGGAUACUGGCGGGCUUGAGUGCGGUAGGGGUAAAGGGAAUUCCUGGUGUAGCGGUGAAAUGCGUAGAUAUCAGGAGGAACAUCGGUGGCGUAAGCGCUUUACUGGGCCGUAAUUGACGCUGAGGAACGAAAGCCGGGGUAGCAAAUGGGAUUAGAUACCCGAGUAGUC
rnacentral:rRNA from 1 species